GACGAACGCGGCGGCGUGCCUAAUACAUGCAAGUAGAACGCUGAAGAGAGGAGCUUGCUCUUCUUGGAUGAGUUGCGAACGGGUGAGUAACGCGUAGGUAACCUGCCUGGUAGCGGGGGAUAACUAUUGGAAACGAUAGCUAAUACCGCAUAAUAUUGACUAUUGCAUGAUAGUUGAUUAAAAGGUGCAAUUGCACCACUACCAGAUGGACCUGCGUUGUAUUAGCUAGUUGGUGGGGUAACGGCUCACCAAGGCGACGAUACAUAGCCGACCUGAGAGGGUGAUCGGCCACACUGGGACUGAGACACGGCCCAGACUCCUACGGGAGGCAGCAGUAGGGAAUCUUCGGCAAUGGACGGAAGUCUGACCGAGCAACGCCGCGUGAGUGAAGAAGGUUUUCGGAUCGUAAAGCUCUGUUGUAAGAGAAGAACGAGUGUGAGAGUGGAAAAGUUCACACUGUGACGG
rnacentral:rRNA from 1 species